UAGAAGUGGCCAUGGCGCAAUAGCAGGGUGUUCCUGCAAGUUUUGAAAAAUCAAAUUAAUGUCAACAUUUGUUUAUCGUUUAUUCUGUGUGUUUCAAUCACAAUAACGCAUUGUGACAUUCACCAGGCUACGAAGGGAGUCCUAAGCAUAGAUGGUCCGUCAGAAAUUCUGACGUAUAUUAUAUACUUUUGUGUGUUUGCUGUCGUAUGAUUACAAUUCAUGAAAUUAUUUUCAACAUAAAUAUAGUAGCUUGAUUGAAAAUGGAAAUAAAAAGCACGAAAGAAUCAUCAACUGCACAGCUGCGGGCACUAGUUGGAUAUAUGGAGGAGAAUCCUGAGUUCGCCAGACGAGUGCCAACUUUUGGAAGCAGCAAGCAACCCCUUGAAGACCACUGGAAAAAAUUAUGUUUCAAAUUAAAUACCAUGGGUUCUCCUUCUCGCGCAAUUGCAGAGUGGAAAAAUGAAAGUCAGAAAACUCGGUUUAAUCUAUUUGUCUAACCGGCACUAUUAUUUACAGGCUUGGACUAAUCUAAAGUCCCGCACAAAUAAGAAAAUAGCUGAAAACAAAAAAAAAAAAAGGUUGCAAGGAACAGGUGUCGGUUUAUACCGAUUUGAGUGUCUGACGGACCUGGAAACAAAAUUGACCGGAUAAUCUUCUUAUCGAAGUCAGCAGUACCAAGCGGUAAAACUUUUGGCUAUGCAGACGACAUCGACUACUGCUUCGAGGAAUUGGAUACAACACCAUCAAGACCGUAGCAGUAGUAACACCUACCAGGCCGUUAAGUGAAGAAAGUUUUCACUAUUUUUCGCCAGAAACACAUGUCUAACAACAAUAACAAAUAAACGUACAAA